AACGCGAAGAACCUUACCUGGGCUUGAACCGCUACGGACCAGCGAUAGAAAUAUUGCCUUCCCGCAAGGGACCGUAGUAGAGGUGCUGCAUGGCUGUCGUCAGCUCGUGCCGUGAGGUGUUGGGUUAAGUCCCGCAACGAGCGCAACCCUUACUCGUAGUUGCUACCCGCAAGGGAGAACUCUACGAGGACUGCUCCGGAUAACGGAGAGGAAGGUGGGGAUGACGUCAAGUCAGCACGGCCUUUAUGUCCAGGGCUACACACGUGUUACAAUGCAUGGUACAGACUGUUGCGAACCCGCGAGGGGGAGCUAAUCGGCCAAAGCCAUGCUCAGUUCGGAUUGCAGUCUGCAACUCGACUGCAUGAAGCUGGAAUCGCUAGUAAUGGCGCAUCAGAUCGGCGCCGUGAAUACGUUCCCGGGCCUUGUA
rnacentral:rRNA from 1 species